AUUGAACGCUGGCGGCAGGCCUAACACAUGCAAGUCGAACGAAGCGGCGGAUGGGUGAGUAACGCGUGGGUAACCUGCCCUUAAGUCUGGGAUACCAUUUGGAAACAGAUGCUAAUACCGGAUACUAAAGGAUGGACCUGCGAUGCAUUAGAUAGUGGGUAAGGUAACGGCUUACAAAGGCGAUGAUGAAUAGACGAGUUGAGAGACGGAUCGGCCACAUUGGGACGGAGACACGGACCAAACGCCGACGGGAGGCAGCAGUAGGGAAUCUUCCACAAUGGACGAAAGUCUGAUGGAGCAAUGACGCGUGAGUGAAGAAGGUUUGUGGAUCGUAAAGCUCUGUUGUUGGUGAAGCGGUAAUCAACCAGAAAGUCACGGCUAACUACGGGCCAGCAGCCGCGGUAAUAC
rnacentral:rRNA from 1 species